rnacentral:rRNA from 1 species
CAGCCGCCACGGGAAUACGGAGGGUGCAAGCGUUAAUCGGAAUUACUGGGCGUAAAGCGCACGCAGGCGGUCUGACAAGUCAGAUGUGAAAUCCCCGGGCUUAACCUGGGAACUGCAUUUGAAACUGUCAGGCUGGAGUCUUGUAAAGGGGGGUAGAAUUCCAGGUGUAGCGGUGAAAUGCGUAGAGAUCUGGAGGAAUACCGGUGGCGAAGGCGGCCCCCUGGACAAAGACUGACGCUCAGGUGCGAAAGCGUGGGGAGCAAACAGGAUUAGAUACCCCGGUAGUCCCUGUCUCUUAUCA